GAUGAAGAACGUAGCGAAAUGCGAUAAGUAAUGUGAAUUGCAGAAUUCAGUGAACCAUCGAAUCUUUGAACGCACAUUGCGCCCGGCAGUAAUCUGCCGGGCAUGCCUGUCCGAGCGUCAUUUCUGCCCUCGAGCGAGUCCAGCAUCUAGGUGCUGGGCCCGCCCGGCGUUGGGGCACUACGGGAAGCCCUGUGCUGUCCCCCGUAGGCCCCGAAAUGAAGUGGCGGUCCUGCCGCGGCGCCCCCUGCGUAGUAUAACAGCUCGCUUCGGGACCCGGUGGUGGCCUGCCGUCAAACCUUACUCUCUAAGUUUGACCUCGGAUCAGGUAGGGUUACCCGCUGAACUUAAGCAUAUCAAUAAGCGGAGGA
rnacentral:misc_RNA from 1 species